AAGGCUCUAGCUUAAUUAAAGUGCCUGAGUUGCAUUCAGGGGAUGCAGGGUAGUGUCCUGCGAGCUUU
rnacentral:tRNA from 1 species